UCUCAUUCCCUACAUUGGAGAGAGAAAAGCUAGGGUGCGUUCCAAAUCGCAUACUUUUUCUUUUUACUUUUAGUACAUACUGCAGCUGUGUAGUGUUGCAUGCAGUAUGCAUAGCAUUGUGCCUUUAGUACGUACUGUGCGUUCCAAUACCCAUACUACCAUACUAUUUA